UUUCCCUCAGGAUAGCUGGCACUCGCUUGAGCGAGUCUCAUCUGGUAAAGCGAAUGAUUAGAGGCCUUGGGGCCGAAACGACCUCAACCUAUUCUCAAACUUUAAAUGGGUGAGAUCUCUGGCUUGCUUGAACGUUGAAGCCACGAGAUACAAUUGUCGCAAUGGAUCAGAGUGCCAAGUGGGCCAAUUUUGGUAAGCAGAACUGGCGCUGUGGGA
rnacentral:rRNA from 1 species